rnacentral:lncRNA from 1 species
UUGUAGUGGAUAUCACAAAAACAGACCUGCAAUCUUAAAAAACUACAGGGGAAUAUGCCGCGGUUGUAACCUGAACCGCGGCAUAUAGUGUUUCGUUUUAAUUUUUUUUUUAAAAAAAAUAGGCAUAUGGCCGCGGUUAGUGCAAGAACCGCGGUAUAUAACUAGGUCUUUUGUCGCGGUUGAACCGCGGCAUAUAGUGGAUAAUUUUUUUUUUUUUAAAAAAAAAGAUUUAGGCAGCGGUUCUUUGGACAACCGCGGCAUAUUUCGAAACUUAUAUAUCGCGGUUGUAACAGCGGCCUAAAGUCUCUGACUUACUACCGUGGCUGAAUAUGCCGCGGUUCAUAAACCGCGACCUAUAGUGAAAAAUAACCGCGGUAAAAGUCUCUCGCUGCACUAGUGUAAGAAUACAUUGACUGAAUUUUCAGGGACUAAAUGACAGUCUACGAGAACCAUAUUUGAAGUUCAAUUGCAGGAAAAUAAUACUUAAACAAUAUUUUUUAUCAAUAUUUGAACAUUAUUUAUGUGUCAUUCUGAACUAAUGACAGAAUAACACAUUAAUGAUGUUCAAAUAUUGUCAAAAAAAGUCUUUUCUAAGUAUCAUUAUCCAUUUUCCAAUAUGAAAGAGAUAUUCAUGGUCAAUGACUCCCUCCCCGUUUGUGAAAUUCAAGAGGUUCCCUUGUCUUAUUUAAUAGUUUCUUAAGAUCAACUUGGCCCACUGAAAACAACUACACCAAUGCUGAAAACAAGUCACGGGAUAGCUGACGUGGGUCGACAAACAAACAAAAACAGAAUGACUCUGAAAUUGGACUUUUCUGCGUUACAGCAUUGCCAACACCCCAUUUCACCAAAAAAUUUUCUGCACUGCCAUUUCCCUUUCCUUAUAGCCCUUCCUUCUUCAUAUAUGCAUACCUUUUCUUCAUUUUUAUGACCGUUAAAAUUAACUUUUAAGACCUCUUACUGCCGUUCUUUUCAUCGGUGAAUUCUUUCAACAACUUCACCUAUAAUUUAUUCUUUUCAUCAGACCAUGUAAUAAUGCAGCUAUAUCAAAAUUUAAUCAUUGGCCAAUGAAGGUACAAUACCUUUUAUGUUAUCUUCCUAACCUCUACGUACGCAGAUUCACAUGUUCAAUUAGAAGCUUCAACCGCAGUUUCAAGCUUUUAGUGUUUUCAAUUUUCACAUUCCUGAUUUUACGUAUAGAAAAG